UACGUAGGGUGCGAGCGUUGUCCGGAUUUAUUGGCGUAAAGAGCGUGUAGGCGGCCAGGUAGGUCUGCUGUGAAAACUCGACGGCUCAACCUCGAGACGCGCGGAAACCAUCUGGCUAGAGUCCGGAAGAGGAGAGUGGAAUUCCUGGUGUAGCGGUGAAAUGCGCAGAUAUCAGGAAGAACACCCGUGGCGAAGGCGGCUCUCGAGG
rnacentral:rRNA from 1 species